CAGCCGCCGCGGUAAUACAGAGGGUGCAAGCGUUAAUCGGAAUUACUGGGCGUAAAGCGCGCGUAGGUGGUUUGUUAAGUUGAAUGUGAAAUCCCAGGGCUCAACCUGGGAACUGCAUCCAAAACUGGCAAGCUAGAGUAGGGCAGAGGGUGGUGGAAUUUCCUGUGUAGCGGUGAAAUGCGUAGAUAUAGGAAGGAACACCAGUGGCGAAGGCGACCACCUGGGCUCAUACUGACACUGAGGUGCGAAAGCGUGGGGAGCAAACAGGAUUAGAUACCCCCGUAGUCCCUGUCUCUUAUAC
rnacentral:rRNA from 1 species